rfam:Gossypium raimondii chromosome 7, whole genome shotgun sequence.
AACCCAUGAUGAGGGCACCUUCUUGACAGAUCUUUAAAUCUCUCCCAUACAUCAUAUAAUGUCUCCAUAUCAAAUUGAACAAAAGAAGAGAUGUCAUUUCUCAACUU